rfam:Haloferax volcanii DS2, complete genome.
AGAUAACUCCGAGUCCUCACGGUGAGGAUAGGAGUAACGGCUGUGUGGCACAGCCAUCGGUACACCUGUUCGACUCAGAGAGCGGUUGCUUUGCACCGCGAGAACAGGUCGUGUCGUAGACUAGCAAAUAUCCCACCUGCGGUACGGGAAGCCCGGUCGUUCACGACGGGGA